rnacentral:rRNA from 1 species
GGCGUGCCUAACACAUGCAAGUCGAACGGAAUUAAGGGGCUUGCUCCUUAAUUUAGUGGCGCACGGGUGAGUAAUGCGUAGAUAAUCUACCCAAGGAUCUGGGAUAACAUCUCGAAAGGGGUGCUAAUACCGGAUAAGCCCACGGAGUCUUCGGACUCUGCGGGAAAAGGGGGGGACCUUCGGGCCUUCUGUCCUCGGAUGAGUCUACGUACCAUUAGCUAGUUGGUGGGGUAAAGGCCUACCAAGGCGACGAUGGUUAGCUAGUCUGAGAGGAUGAUCAGCCACACUGGAACUGAGACACGGUCCAGACUCCUACGGGAGGCAGCAGUGGGGAAUUUUGCGCAAUGGGGGAAACCCUGACGCAGCAACGCCGCGUGAGUGAUGAAGGCCUUCGGGUCGUAAAGCUCUGUCAGUGGGAAAGAAAUGUACGAGGGCCAAUACCCCUUGUACUUGACGGUACCCACAAAGGAAGCACCGGCUAACUCCGUGCCAGCAGCCGCGGUAAUACGGAGGGUGCGAGCGUUGUUCGGAAUUAUUGGGCGUAAAGCGCGUGUAGGCGGCUUCUUAAGUCUGGUGUGAAAGCCCCGGGCUCAACCUGGGAAGUGCAUUGGAAACUGGGAAACUUGAAUACGGGAGAGGGUAGUGGAAUUCCUGGUGUAGGAGUGAAAUCCGUAGAUAUCAGGAGGAACACCGGUGGCGAAGGCGGCUACCUGGACCGAUAUUGACGCUGAGACGCGAAAGCGUGGGGAGCAAACAGGAUUAGAUACCCUGGUAGUCCACGCCGUAAACGAUGAGUACUAGGUGUUGCGGGUAUUGACCCCUGCAGUGCCGCAGCUAACGCAUUAAGUACUCCGCCUGGGAAGUACGGUCGCAAGACUAAAACUCAAAU